GACGGAGGAUGCAAGCGUUAUCCGGAAUGAUUGGGCGUAAAGCGUCCGCAGGUGGCAGUUCAAGUCUGCUGUCAAAGACCGGGGCUUAACUUCGGAAAGGCAGUGGAAACUGAACAGCUAGAGUAUGGUAGGGGCAGAGGGAAUUCCUGGUGUAGCGGUGAAAUGCGUAGAGAUGUGGAGGAACACCAGUGGCGAAGGCGGAUCUCUGGGCCAUUACUGACGCUGAGGAGCGAAAGCGUGGGGAGCGAACAGG
rnacentral:rRNA from 1 species